rnacentral:rRNA from 1 species
GGUUAAGCGACUAAGCGUACACGGUGGAUGCCCUGGCAGUCAGAGGCGAUGAAGGACGUGCUAAUCUGCGAUAAGCGUCGGUAAGGUGAUAUGAACCGUUAUAACCGGCGAUUUCCGAAUGGGGAAACCCAGUGUGAUUCGUCACACUAUCAUUAACUGAAUCCAUAGGUUAAUGAGGCGAACCGGGGGAACUGAAACAUCUAAGUACCCCGAGGAAAAGAAAUCAACCGAGAUUCCCCCAGUAGCGGCGAGCGAACGGGGAGGAGCCCAGAGCCUGAAUCAGUGUGUGUGUUAGUGGAAGCGUCUGGAAAGGCGCGCGAUACAGGGUGACAGCCCCGUACACAAAAAUGCACAUGCUGUGAGCUCGAUGAGUAGGGCGGGACACGUGGUAUCCUGUCUGAAUAUGGGGGGACCAUCCUCCAAGGCUAAAUACUCCUGACUGACCGAUAGUGAACCAGUACCGUGAGGGAAAGGCGAAAAGAACCCCGGCGAGGGGAGUGAAAAAGAACCUGAAACCGUGUACGUACAAGCAGUGGGAGCACAGAGCAAUCUGUGUGACUGCGUACCUUUUGUAUAAUGGGUCAGCGACUUAUAUUCUGUAGCAAGGUUAACCGAAUAGGGGAGCCGAAGGGAAACCGAGUCUUAACUGGGCGUUAAGUUGCAGGGUAUAGACCCGAAACCCGGUGAUCUAGCCAUGGGCAGGUUGAAGGUUGGGUAACACUAACUGGAGGACCGAACCGACUAAUGUUGAAAAAUUAGCGGAUGACUUGUGGCUGGGGGUGAAAGGCCAAUCAAACCGGGAGAUAGCUGGUUCUCCCCGAAAGCUAUUUAGGUAGCGCCUCGUGAAUUCAUCUCCGGGGGUAGAGCACUGUUUCGGCAAGGGGGUCAUCCCGACUUACCAACCCGAUGCAAACUGCGAAUACCGGAGAAUGUUAUCACGGGAGACACACGGCGGGUGCUAACGUCCGUCGUGAAGAGGGAAACAACCCAGACCGCCAGCUAAGGUCCCAAAGUCAUGGUUAAGUGGGAAACGAUGUGGGAAGGCCCAGACAGCCAGGAUGUUGGCUUAGAAGCAGCCAUCAUUUAAAGAAAGCGUAAUAGCUCACUGGUCGAGUCGGCCUGCGCGGAAGAUGUAACGGGGCUAAACCAUGCACCGAAGCUGCGGCAGCGACACUGUGUGUUGUUGGGUAGGGGAGCGUUCUGUAAGCCUGCGAAGGUGUGCUGUGAGGCAUGCUGGAGGUAUCAGAAGUGCGAAUGCUGACAUAAGUAACGAUAAAGCGGGUGAAAAGCCCGCUCGCCGGAAGACCAAGGGUUCCUGUCCAACGUUAAUCGGGGCAGGGUGAGUCGACCCCUAAGGCGAGGCCGAAAGGCGUAGUCGAUGGGAAACAGGUUAAUAUUCCUGUACUUGGUGUUACUGCGAAGGGGGGACGGAGAAGGCUAUGUUGGCCGGGCGACGGUUGUCCCGGUUUAAGCGUGUAGGCUGGUUUUCCAGGCAAAUCCGGAAAAUCAAGGCUGAGGCGUGAUGACGAGGCACUACGGUGCUGAAGCAACAAAUGCCCUGCUUCCAGGAAAAGCCUCUAAGCAUCAGGUAACAUCAAAUCGUACCCCAAACCGACACAGGUGGUCAGGUAGAGAAUACCAAGGCGCUUGAGAGAACUCGGGUGAAGGAACUAGGCAAAAUGGUGCCGUAACUUCGGGAGAAGGCACGCUGAUAUGUAGGUGAAGUCCCUCGCGGAUGGAGCUGAAAUCAGUCGAAGAUACCAGCUGGCUGCAACUGUUUAUUAAAAACACAGCACUGUGCAAACACGAAAGUGGACGUAUACGGUGUGACGCCUGCCCGGUGCCGGAAGGUUAAUUGAUGGGGUCAGCGCAAGCGAAGCUCUUGAUCGAAGCCCCGGUAAACGGCGGCCGUAACUAUAACGGUCCUAAGGUAGCGAAAUUCCUUGUCGGGUAAGUUCCGACCUGCACGAAUGGCGUAAUGAUGGCCAGGCUGUCUCCACCCGAGACUCAGUGAAAUUGAACUCGCUGUGAAGAUGCAGUGUACCCGCGGCAAGACGGAAAGACCCCGUGAACCUUUACUAUAGCUUGACACUGAACAUUGAGCCUUGAUGUGUAGGAUAGGUGGGAGGCUUUGAAGUGUGGACGCCAGUCUGCAUGGAGCCGACCUUGAAAUACCACCCUUUAAUGUUUGAUGUUCUAACGUGGACCCGUGAUCCGGGUUGCGGACAGUGUCUGGUGGGUAGUUUGACUGGGGCGGUCUCCUCCUAAAGAGUAACGGAGGAGCACGAAGGUUGGCUAAUCCUGGUCGGACAUCAGGAGGUUAGUGCAAUGGCAUAAGCCAGCUUGACUGCGAGCGUGACGGCGCGAGCAGGUGCGAAAGCAGGUCAUAGUGAUCCGGUGGUUCUGAAUGGAAGGGCCAUCGCUCAACGGAUAAAAGGUACUCCGGGGAUAACAGGCUGAUACCGCCCAAGAGUUCAUAUCGACGGCGGUGUUUGGCACCUCGAUGUCGGCUCAUCACAUCCUGGGGCUGAAGUAGGUCCCAAGGGUAUGGCUGUUCGCCAUUUAAAGUGGUACGCGAGCUGGGUUUAGAACGUCGUGAGACAGUUCGGUCCCUAUCUGCCGUGGGCGCUGGAGAACUGAGGGGGGCUGCUCCUAGUACGAGAGGACCGGAGUGGACGCAUCACUGGUGUUCGGGUUGUCAUGCCAAUGGCACUGCCCGGUAGCUAAAUGCGGAAGAGAUAAGUGCUGAAAGCAUCUAAGCACGAAACUUGCCCCGAGAUGAGUUCUCCCUGACUCCUUGAGAGUCCUGAAGGAACGUUGAAGACGACGACGUUGAUAGGCCGGGUGUGUAAGCGCAGCGAUGCGUUGAGCUAACCGGUACUAAUGAACCGUGAGGCUUAACCUU